CCGACAUCCACAUUACCAACGUUCUGGAACGGGUGAACAAGGCGGGAGCAUCGGAAGACCAGGGAAACAUGUUAACUCGGCCUCUGGGUGUAAGAGAGACUGUUCUCAAGGUUCGGUCCACAUAAAGGAGGUUCAGUUGGCUUACUGCCAGGGCUGUGUAUCGAGAGGAGGGGAGAGUCUGAGCGAUACUGAAGCCUUUUAUAAGGCAUUCUUGGGAUUCAGCAAUCAACCCUAACCCUAAAGCAGCCGCCGAGGAUGUGUUUUCCAGAAUUUUGGCCCUUGGUGAAUAAGUUGGCAUCUAAUGAGAAGCUGAACACAUGAUACGUGCAUAGACCUCACCUCCCUUCUACAGCUGGAGGGAUUGUUAUUGACCGUAGCACCAUCUUGCAUGACAAUGAUCUGUGAAAGAACCAACGAGGGGAACAUGAAUUUUCCCACUUCACUGUGUGAUUCAGAUACAGGUUUAUUUAUUACAUGUAUGUUGGAACUUCCAGUGAAAUACUUUAUUUGUGUUAACAACCGACACCAGCUGAGGAUGUGCUGGGAGCAACCUACAGGUAUUGGUGUACAUUCCAGCAUCAGCACAACGCACCCUCAAUGCCGAGCAGAACAACAACAACGACAAAACCAGACAAGAACAGCCAGACAACCCCUUUUCCCCUCUCUCCCACUCACUCCCAUAGGCCUACAGUCCUCUAGCUCCAGGACAGACUGCCUCCAGCCUCCAGUCCCUUUCAUGCCAGCAGCCAUCUGGCCUCCAAGCUCCAGUCCCUUUGGCUCAGACUCACAGUUAUCUGGUCUCUGGUCCAUGAACAAGCCAACCCAGGGUCUUUGACCUUCAGGCCUCUCUCCACACUCUCCGACUUCAGCCUUCAACCUCGGCUCUCACCAAGCUCUGGACUUUGACCUUUGGCUUUGCCCUCCAGACCUGGUAUCGACCUUAGGUCUCUCCCAUCACAGGGUUAAACUCUGGGCCUCGACCCCAGC